CCACCUACUUCCCCACAUGGGUACAAUGAGAUGGCUAAACCCCACCAACUUCCCCACAUGGUACAAUGAGAUGGCUAAUCCCCACCCACUUCUCCACAUGGGUUCAAUGAGACGGCUUAACACCUCCCACUUCCCUACACAGGUACAAUCAGGCUGCUAAACCCCACCUACUUCCCUACAUGGGUACAGUGAGGUUGCUGAACCCCACCCACCCACAUGGGUUCAGUAAAGCUGCCAAACCCCACCCUCCAAGCAUCUGACGUACCACUUAACUCUUGAGUCAUUCAGUGUACACAGCUGGAACAAGUAAAUUAAACUGGGAUUUUCACUUAAAAUCAUGACCAUACUCAUAUGGUGAGGGCUAAGAGUUGCUUGAUUUGUCAUGCUUUGCAAAAACGAAAAUGAAACAAUUUAAAUUCUACAUUGGCAAUUCGUGGCAUCGUAUGUAUGGCACUGAGGCAUCCAAACGAGACUCAGUAUCUGGCAUACCAAGUGUGGUUGGAACCCUCCACAUCAAGUUAAUCUAGUUAUUAGUGAUCCAUCAUGAAGUUGCUGCAGUCCUGCUGAAACGGGUGCAAUAUCUCAUCCCUCCCUUGAUCACUGCUACCUUUGCUAAAGACCCUGAUUUCCUGCACCACACAUGCCUGGUUCAUGGAGCUCAGUUUUAAUGGCCUCGAUUUUGGCUAUGUUUUGAUGAGCUAAAAUCAACUUAAAACACUAAGUCCACUGAACUGUAUGCAGGGAUCAGUUCUAUUUAGUUUAUGUGUAAUAUGAUCAUAACACUGCUUUUACACUAUUUUGUCUGAAUGUAUUUCUUCGUCGGUGUAUUGAAAGAGAUGUGAAUGAUGAUUGACUGGGACAUAAUGUUUAUUGUAUUUGCUGUGAUGAAUACCAAACACUGAAUAAAACUACUUCAAACACUAAAA